CUGUGUCCGUCGGACUGGACGGGAUUAAUAAAGAUUCUGAUUCUGAUUCUCAGAACAACAUAAUCAUGUUGGAUCAGUUCUUCAAAACCCUAUAGCUUAUCUCCCUGCCACUCUUUGAAACUCGUUAACUGCUGUUUGAUAAAAUAUUCCAGUACAUACCCGAGGAUAUUAACGACUAACCGCUAUGGAUCCAGCAGAAAUCUUGUUUUGCCUACGACAGGAGGCCCCAAUUGAGGAUUAUGCGGAGGUAUUCGUGGACCUGUGUAACUAGGUGGACUUUGGGGAAAAGGCCCUGAAAGACAUCUUCAGGCAUGGACUGGAGAGCAAGGUGCGCUACUUAGUGAAUAGAUUCAGCAUUUCCAUAAGUUUUCUUUUGACAGAAAUUUGUGUCUGGUUUGUCAAACAAACUUUUAGGCAGAAUGUCAAUAAAUGAUGGAUGAAUGAUGCUUUGCUAGUUCCUGUUAUUUUGAUUUUAUAUCAGAUAUAUCCUGUUGUUCCAACACCAGUCUCUAUUUUUCAGGUACAUCACACGAAGUAUCAUUAAAAAAACAAA